CAGUCGAACGAAGCGAUUUGACGGAAGUUUUCGGAUGGAAGUUAAAUUGACUGAGUGGCGGACGGGUGAGUAACGCGUGGGUAACCUGCCUCACACUGGGGGACAACAGUUAGAAAUGACUGCUAAUACCGCAUAAGCGCACAGGACCGCAUGGUCUAGUGUGAAAAACUCCGGUGGUGUGAGAUGGACCCGCGUUUGAUUAGCUAGUUGGUGGGGUAACGGCCUACCAAGGCGACGAUCAAUAGCCGACCUGAGAGGGUGACCGGCCACAUUGGGACUGAGACACGGCCCAAACUCCUACGGGAGGCAGCAGUGGGGAAUAUUGCACAAUGGGGGAAACCCUGAUGCAGCGACGCCGCGUGAGUGAAGAAGUAUUUCGGUAUGUAAAGCUCUAUCAGCAGGGAAGAAAAUGACGGUACCUGACUAAGAAGCCCCGGCUAACUACGUGCCAGCAGCCGCGGUAAUACGUAGGGGGCAAGCGUUAUCCGGAUUUACUGGGUGUAAAGGGAGCGUAGACGGUAAAGCAAGUCUGAAGUGAAAACCCGGGGCUCAACCCCGGGACUGCUUUGGAAACUGUUUAACUAGAGUGCUGGAGAGGUAAGCGGAAUUCCUAGUGUAGCGGUGAAACGCGUAGAUAUUAGGAGGAACACCAGUGGCGAAGGCGGCUUACUGGACAGUAACUGACGUUGAGGCUCGAAAGCGUGGGGAGCAAA
rnacentral:rRNA from 1 species